ensembl:lncRNA
CAAAAAUGAACAUCGCCGCAGGAGCGGCGUCGUGCUUUCAGCGAUCGUUUCUGAUUGGUCCAUCAUGGGCUGAAAAAUUGUAUAAAAGAGAAAAGAGGACAGCAGAGGAAUGCAACUACGAUUGUGAAUGCACAGAAUUAUCUGCUUCUGAAGCCAGAAAUCAGGACCAUCAUGAAGAUCGUGCUCGUGUUCAUCGCUGUGUGCUUUAUUGCGCUCUCCUGUGCUGUUCCUGUGGAGGAUGAGCACGAACGAGAGAAGCGCUCGUCCAGUGGUGAGUCCUACCGAGGAGGACAGUUCCAGCCACCAAUCUUUCCAUACUUCCCCAACGUCAACAACAACGACAACAACGCCUGGAUGAACAUCAUCCUGCCCCUGCUGUUAGCACGCCUCUUCCCUGCCCCCGCUCCUGCCCCCGCCCCUGCAACAGGAAAAUAAGACCAGCGUGUAAUGAUCAUGUUCUGUGUGAUUGUUGGCAGUUCCUUGAAAUAAAGACACGUCCUUGAGCAUA